UACUCUUUCCUUUACUAGAUAUCAUUGAAGUAUAGGCUUCAAUUUCUGCUCUUCUGUCACUCUGAACCAUCACUUUAACUCAUCUCUGUAGUUUUCUUAACAAGACAAGAUCAAAACAUGAACCCUAUGGGAGAACUACUUUCUUUCCCUAUAAGCCAAAAAAUCUAGUAAAAAGGUAGAGAUUUUUCCCAUUACUCGAAUCCUAAACAGUGUGAAAAAUCUAUUAUUAAAAACCAUAGUUUUCCUUCUUUCUUUCUUUCUUUCUUUCUUUUUUUAAUAGCCUAUUGGAUUUGAUGUUCCACUACCAUUCAUCCUGUAAGCGGUCACUGCCAAUGGGGAAGGGAAGCUUCAGUGCUGCCAUCCCUUUUAGUUGCAGCUCCCACUGAAUAAAAACUUUCUUCCAUCCUCAUCCUCUAAUAUGUUAUUUUAAAGGCCUACAUGGCAGAAGAGCACAAUCUUAGAACAAAGAAAUCUACAAUGGACUUCAUGGAAAAGUAACUUUUCUUUAUUUAAGGCAUUUUGAAAACGAAAAUGAGCAACACAUGAUACCAAGCAAUGGUCACCCAACUGUAAGGAGGGAGGUCUAUGCUCUCUUCAGGUUCAUUAAACCUAGAUACCUCUCAUCCAGCUCCCUCAUCUGAUCAAACACCCAUCAAAAUAAAUAAAAAAUUAAAAAAAUAAAUAAAUGAGGAAAAUCGUAGAACCUAUAUGAUAGUGAAAAGAACAUAUGUACGUGGUAAAUAUUUGUGGAAAAUAAGUCAUAAUUACCAUUCUACUUGUUAUAAGCCUUCCAGAGGUCACCCAAGAAGGAGCAAUGAUCCAUGAUGUACUCUCUCUCAUGGGGUCCCUGGAGGCCAUUAAGUGCAGGAACUUUGAUCUGCAGAUAUUUUGUACAAAAAGGAGUAUACAUUAUGAUCGCAUGCAUUGAAAUAAAUAAGAAAAUUUUUAGUGUCGACAAAGAAAAAGAAAAAAGGAAAAAACCAUUCUGUUUGUAUGCAAGAAACAAAUAUAAGGUACUUUUCCAUAUAUAUGAAUGUAGAAAUAUAAAUGGCAAACAUGAUUCUCAAAAGAAAUGUAAGAGAAUAGUAAGAGAUUGUGAAACUCCUUAUUCUAAGUUGGUAAAAAGGUUUCUACUAGAGAUUAAAUAUCUAAACUGAUACCUUUUUCCGACUCC
rnacentral:lncRNA from 1 species